UCUCUGAAAAACUGGACGCAAAAUAUUUAAAAAUUUCUCGGAAAUACAUGAUUUGUCAAAGGAGAUUUGGCAACGUCUGAGGGCUCAUAUGGCGUUUCUCCUUAGCACGGCUGAAAUCAACCCUGCGCGGCCAGGUGCAAUGAUUUCAAACCUUUCGGUUGCAAUCAAAAAGGCGAUUCACACCGGUACCGUAUGUGAUAAGGGACAGGUUUGAAAUCAUUAGACCAGCGGGCUAAUUAUUGCAAUUGAUAGACAAAGCGAUAGAUAAAGAAGAGAUAAGAAGGAAGGAUCGAUCCCAUUGGUUGAUAUGGGUAGCUCCUAUAGAAAAUGAUGGACUAACUAUAGGAUCUCUCGUGGGUUGCCGUACCUACCUCCUUUGUCCAUUGCAACCACCCGCUUCUACCAAUAGGAUCCCUCCGUAUACCUUUUGUCUUCUUUGUCUAUAGCUUUGUCUAUCAAUUUCAAUAAUCGGCUCGCAGGUCGCGCGCGCCAUCUUCGCGUCGCACGCUGCUUGUGAAACCGUGGCUCCACGAUGUGUCUCCUGCCCGUAAUAAACGAAGCUAUAAAAAGACGAUUUAUCAUCGCAAGAAAGCCCCCGUAUGGAUGGAAAGAUGAGCGGGUGAUGCGAAAAUCUCGCGCUCAUUUCUGGAGAUGAACGCCAAAUCAGUGAUAUCGCGUUCGUCGCGGGUGAAUCGUUCAGUUACGAAUCCUCAGGUUGGAGACAGGCGCAUAAAAUCAUGGUUUUACUCCUCCUCUACAUAUCUAUGGGGUGGAUAUCAGGGCAAGCAACUGCCUUCCGCGCCCCUCAACCAUACCGCCUUGAUGGGAGGUUGUGCCGUACCAUUACGAUUUAUUCCUCGAGGUUAACUUGGAUCCAACCGGCCUUCAUGACGAAAAGGAUUAUUUUAAAUUCAGGGAUAUGUGAAAAUUAAGGUGAGCGAUAUUCUGUUGAGUUUUCCGAUCAGCUCAUUUAUCGAUUAAUUGAACUUUCGGACUCUCAGAAAUUCAACAUUCGAUUGAUUAUCGAAUCGAAUCAAAGUUAAUUGAUUCAUUGAGUUUUUAAUCAAAAUUUCCGUUAACAACCUGUACCAUUGGAUGACUGUCAGGGUCCCUAGGUGUGAAUUAGUGUCUAUGCUGCAAUGGAGCAUCAAAAAUCAUGUAUGCUGAAGAAUGUUGCCUCCCCCAUCCCCGUUCGCCCGAAAAAUUAAGAAGAAAAAAAGAAGGAGAAAAGGAGGAACGAACGGUCGAGGAAAGAAGAAAGAAAAACGCUUACAAUUAAUUGAUGAUUAUUCGUGACGAAAUGGAGUGAAACUGAAUAUUCGAUGCUUCGAAAAUUCAAAAUUUUCUGGAAGAGGCCCACGGAACACCCCCCCCCCCCCCCCCGUUCGUAAAGUCUGGAUCCGCCCAUGGCUGAACAUAUUCCAUUUACUUAAUAGCAUUUCUUGCGAGCAUCAUUUGGAAAUUCCGAAAGAUGAAACUGUAAACUGCAUUUUUGAGAAGGGAACUUUUUAUUUCUGGCUCAAUAUAGAAAAAAUAAACGUGUCUUGAGUUUUUCUGUAGCACAAGCAGUUGCUUUUAUUAAAUCCAUGAAUCAGAAUUAGAGGUGACUCGUUGGCGUGUAUGAUCCUCACUGCUGAAAUUUACGAUGUAGCCAACUUGGCUCAUCGUCAGAUCUUGUGAAACUACGGGUAUUUAAAAGAUAAAAAUAAAUGAUACAAUAAUAUUUUAAUUGGAUGAACCAUUAUCUCUUACUUAAAUUAUUAUGUAAUGUAAUAUCCCAUCAGAACACUUCCGUGUAAAAAUGACCCGCCAAGCUAAAAAUAUAAAUAUUCGUCGCCUCAAAUGCAAUGAUAUCACAUGAAGUAGACGCCAAGCAAAUUUCAUGAAUAUAAAUUGUAAGUUUCUCCUCCCUUCAACAUUAUUACCGGAAAAACGAAAAUUAUAGGCAAAAAAAAAUUAUUUUAAAAAGGGAUACAACUUUAUCAUCUUUUUUUGUACAAUUGUACUACAAACAAGAGGAUAAAUUUGUAUCCCUUUUUUAAAUAAUUUUUUUUGUCUAUAAUUUUCGUUUUUCCGGUAAUAAUGUUGAAGGGAGGAGAAACUUACAAUUUAUAUUCAUGAAAUUUGCUUGGCGUCUACUUCAUGUGAUAUUAUUGCAUUUGAGGCGACGAAUAUUUAUAUUUUUAGCUUGGCGGGUCAUUUUUACACGGAAGAGUUUUUGAUGGGAUAUCACGAAGUUUUUCGUAUAAAUGAUGACAAACAAAUUUAAAGAAAAGAAUGAUGUGAUUUGUAUACAUUUAGUUUUUUUUCAAUUUAAGAGAAAUUUGAAAACUUCUGCAGUGUCUGAUAGGGUAGGUAUUGAUGAGCACUUGAAAGAUACCUAGUUAAUGAAAUAUAAUGUGAUUUCUUGACAUUUUUAAAGCAAAUUUUUAGUAAAAAUAGUGGCCCAAAUUUUAGCACCUUCCUCGACUCAAAACCUCGUUUGGAUCACCUCCAACUUUCCUCAAGUGACUUUCCCUGAAGGAAAAAUCCGAUUGAAUCAAGAGUAUUUUUCUUGUCGAUGUUUUUAAGAGUCUGGACUCUAGAUCCAAUGUGUUUUUUUCCAGUGUAGCGCAACAACUCCUUGAUAG
rnacentral:lncRNA from 1 species